UACGAAGGGGGCUAGCGUUGCUCGGAAUGACUGGGCGUAAAGGGCGCGUAGGCGGUUAAUUGGGUCAGAUGUGAAAUUCCUGGGCUUAACCUGGGGGCUGCAUUUGAAACUAGUUGGCUAGAGUUCGGAAGAGGGUCGUGGAAUUCCCAGUGUAGAGGUGAAAUUCGUAGAUAUUGGGAAGAACACCGGUGGCGAAGGCGGCGACCUGGUCCGAUACUGACGCUGAGGCGCGAAAGCGUGGGGAGCAAACAGG
rnacentral:rRNA from 1 species